CCCUUAGAUGCUCUGGGCCGCACGCGCGCUACACUGGUCGAUGCAACGAGUUUCUUUCCUUGGCCGACAGGCCUGGGCAAUCUUUGAACAUCGAUCGUGAUCGGGAUAGAUUCUUGUAAUUUUUGAUCUUAAACGAGGAAUUCCUAGUAAACGCAAGUCAUCAGCUUGCAUUGAUUACGUCCCUGCCCUUUGUACACACCGCCCGUCGCACCUACCGAUUGAAUGGUCCGGUGAAAUCUCCGGACUGGCGUGAGACGGAGCAAUCUGACAAACACCGGAAAGUUGAUUAAACCUUACCAUUUAGAGGAAGGUGAAGUCGUAACA
rnacentral:rRNA from 1 species